AGUGUUUGUAGGUGUGUGUCUGUAGGUGUGUGUCUGUCAUAGUGUCUGUAGGUGUGUGUCUGUCAUAGUGUCUGUAGGUGUGUGUCUGUCAUAGUGUCUGUAUGUGUGUGUCUGCCAUAGUGUUCCACUGCCUCCUUUAGGUAGAUACACUACAACAUGCUCAGACAGGAGCUUACAGUGUGUGUGUGUGUGUGUGUGUGUGUGUGUGUGUGUGUGUGUGUGUGUGUGUGUGUGUGUGUGUGUGUGUGUGUGUGUGUGUGUGUGUGUGUGUGUGUGUGUGUGUGUGUGUGUGUGUGUGUGUGUGUGUGUUGAUCCUUCUUUGUCCUGUCCCACAGGUGUUUGCCUUUGACCAUUGUUUCUGGUCCAUGGAUGAGUCCAACAUGCCCAAGUAUGCUGGUCAAGAGGUGGUGUUCCAGUGCCUUGGUGAGGGAAUACUGGAAAACGCCUUUCAAGGAUACAAUGCCUGCAUUUUCGCCUACGGACAAACAGGGUCAGGGAAGUCCUUCUCCAUGAUGGGGAAUAAGAAGGCUCCAGGGCUGAUCCCCAGGCUGUGCUGCUCCCUGUUUGAGAGGAUCGGC